rnacentral:rRNA from 1 species
GGGGAAUUUUGGACAAUGGGGGCAACCCUGAUCCAGCGACGCCGCGUGGGUGAAGAAGGCCUGCGGGUUGUAAAGCCCUUUCGGUUGGGAAGAAAAGUUGUGACCUAACACGUUGCGACCUUGACGUAACCAACUAAAGAAGCACCGGCUAACUCUGUGCCAGCAGCCGCGGUGACACGUAGGCUCCAAGCGUUGUCCGGAUUUAUUGGGCGUAAAGAGCUCGUAGGCGGUUUAGUAAGUCGGGUGUGAAAACUCUGGGCUUAACCCAGAGACGCCACCCGAUACUGCUAUGACUUGAGUACGGUAGGGGAAUGGGGAAUUCCUGGUGUAGCGGUGAAAUGCGCAGAUAUCAGGAGGAACACCAGUGGCGAAGGCGCCACUCUGGGCCGAAACUGACGCUGAGGAGCGAAAGCGUGGGUAGCAAA